GAUGAACGCUGGCGGCAGGCCUAACACAUGCAAGUCGAACGGAUCCUUCGGGAUUAGUGGCGGACGGGUGAGUAACGCGUGGGAACAUACCCUUUGGUACGGAAUAGCCUCGGGAAACUGGGAGUAAUACCGUAUGUGGUCGAGAGACGAAAGAUUUAUCGCCAAAGGAUUGGCCCGCGUUGAAUUAGGUAGUUGGUGGGGUAAUGGCCUACCAAGCCGACGAUCCAUAGCUGGUUUGAGAGGAUGAUCAGCCACACUGGGACUGAGACACGACCCAGACUCCUACGGGAGGCAGCAGUGGGGAAUCUUAGACAAUGGGGGAAACCCUGAUCUAGCCAUGCCGCGUGAUCGAUGAAGGCCUUAGGGUUGUAAAGAUCUUUCAGGUGGGAAGAUAAUGACUGUACCACCAGAAGAAGCCCCGGCUAACUCCGUGCCAGCCGCCGCAGUAAAAC
rnacentral:rRNA from 1 species